ACUCCCUGGUUACUCCUAUGGUAGUUCCUAUAAAACAGUUGUUGCGUUCGCAAAAAGGUUCUGUUCUGUUGAUUUGUUUAGGAAUGAUUUGAGAUUCUAGAAAUAUGUUGUCUUUCUCUCGUUCACAAGUUGUGCAUACGUUCUUGUCACGUAACUGAAUCAACCAGUGGUUCCGUGCUUGAAUGGUUCGUCUGAGUUGGAACUCAGAUCGAAUGACAUUAAGCAAAGACGGAUGACAUCCGGUCUGUCUUCGAUUGUUCUGGAACGAGGUCGGAUUGCAAGGGGUGAAACUUUACUAAUCCCUUUCCAUCGGCGAAAAUAAUACAGCCCAAGUUUAUGGAAACUUAUAGUCUCGAGGAGCUUGUGCCAGUGACGGAUUUGGGGCUGUACAUUUUAUUGUGCCGAUGGACAUUUGUUUGGUUACGGGACAUAACCCCUUGUGACUGUAAGGAAAGACAUCGUGACAAUUCUCUUGUGGCCACCUAACACCAACAGGCCAACUUCUUGAGGACACACCUUGGGGACUAGUGGCUGUCCAACACUUCUAGUACCUAGUAGCUAGUAACCAGUAUUUAGUUGUAACCAGAGU
rnacentral:lncRNA from 1 species